AAGACCUUACGCUUUUGGAGCGGCCGAUGUCUGAUUAGCUUGUUGGUAAGGUAAAAGCUUACCAAGGCUUCGAUCAGUAGCUGGUCUGAGAGGACGGCCAGCCACACUGGGACUGAGACACGGCCCAGACUCCUACGGGAGGCAGCAGUGGGGAAUUUUGGACAAUGGGGGCAACCCUGAUCCAGCCACGCCGCGUGAGUGAAGAAGGCCUUCGGGUUGUAAAGCUCUUUCAGCCGGAACGAAACGGUUACGGUUAAUACCCGUGACUACUGACGGUACCGGAGGAAGAAGCACCGGCUAACUACGUGCCAGCAGCCGCGGUAAUACGUAGGGUGCAAGCGUUAAUCGGAAUUACUGGGCGUAAAGCGUGCGCAGGUGGUUUUGUAAGUCAGAUGUGAAAUCCCCGGGCUUAACCUGGGAACU
rnacentral:rRNA from 1 species